rnacentral:rRNA from 1 species
AUGCAUGUCUCAGUACAGACUCUCGAAAAGUGAAACCGCGAAUGGCUCAUUAAAUCAGUUAUGGUUCCUUAGAUCAUUCUCUUCCUCCAUGGAUAACUGUGGUAAUUCUAGAGCUAAUACAUGCAACAAGCUCGUAUCUUGCCAGAUACGAGCGCUUUUAUUAGACCAAAACCAAUGCGUGCGGUUUCGGCCGUGCGCUCCUGGUGGUGACUCUGGAUAACUUUGUGCAGAUCGCAUGGCCUCGAGCCGGCGACGUAUCUUUCAAAUGUCUGCCCUAUCAACUUUCGAUGGUAGGUGACGUGCCUACCAUGGUUGUAACGGGUAACGGAGAAUCAGGGUUCGAUUCCGGAGAGGGAGCAUGAGAAAUGGCUACCACAUCCAAGGAAGGCAGCAGGCGCGCAAAUUACCCACUCCCGGCACGGGGAGGUAGUGACGAAAAAUAACAAUGCCGGACUCUAUUGAGGCCCGGUAAUUGGAAUGAGAACACUUUAAAUCGUUUAGCGAGUAACGAUUGGAGGGCAAGUCUGGUGCCAGCAGCCGCGGUAAUUCCAGCUCCAAUAGCGUAUAUUAAAGUUGUUGCAGUUAAAAAGCUCGUAGUUGGAUAUGGGGCUUUCGGCUGGUGGUCCGCUCUUUGGGCGGUUACUGCCUGUCCGAGUCCACUUUGUCGGUUUCGCUGAGGAUGCCCUUAAGUGGGUGUCCCCAGUAGCCGGCACGUUUACUUUGAAAAAAUUAGAGUGCUUGAAGCAGGCGCUUGCCUGAAUAAUGCUGCAUGGAAUAAUGGAAUAGGAUCUCGGUUCUAUUUUGUUGGUUUUCGGUUCCGAGGUAAUGAUUAAGAGGGACAGACGGGGGCAUUCGUACUGCGGCGCUAGAGGUGAAAUUCUUGGACCGCCGCAAGACGAACGAGUGCGAAAGCAUUUGCCAAGAAUGUUUUCAUUAAUCAAGAACGAAAGUGUGAGGAGCCAAGGGGAUUAGAGACCCCCGCAGUUCACACUAUAAACGAUGCCAACUAGCGAUCGGCCGCAGUUCGUUAAAUGACUCGGUCGGCAGCUUCCGGGAAACCGCAAGUUUUUGGGUUCCGGGGGAAGUAUGGUUGCAAAGCUGAAACUUAAAGGAAUUGACGGAAGGGCACCACCAGGAGUGGAGCCUGCGGCUUAAUUUGACUCAACACGGGAAAGCUCACCCGGCCCGGACACCGUAAGGAUUGACAGAUUGAGAGCUCUUUCUUGAUUCGGUGGAUGGUGGUGCAUGGCCGUUCUUAGUUGGUGGAGCGAUUUGUCUGGUUAAUUCCGAUAACGAACGAGACUCUAGCCUACUAACUAGCUGCCGGAUCCUCAUUGUAGUCCGGCACUUGCUUCUUAGAGGGACAAGGGGCGAUUAGCCUCACGAAAUUGAGCAAUAACAGGUCUGUGAUGCCCUUAGAUGUUCGGGGCCGCACGCGCGCUACACUGAAAGACUCAGCGUGUCCUUUUCCUGCUCCGACAGGAGCGGGUAACCCGUUGAAACUCUUUCGUGCUUGGGAUCGGGGCUUGUAACUAUUCCCCGUGAACGAGGAAUUCCCAGUAAGCGCGAGUCAUAAGCUCGCGUUGAUUACGUCCCUGCCCUUUGUACACACCGCCCGUCGCUACUACCGAUUGAAUGGUUUAGUGAGACCUUCGGAUUGGGGCCAGAGUGGCUGCAAGGUCGCCCUGGAUUCUGAAAAGUUGGUCAAACUUGAUCAUUUAGAGGAAGUAAAAGUC